rnacentral:tRNA from 1 species
GGAGAGGUGGCUGAGCGGUUGAAAGCGCGGCUCUCGAAAAGCCGUAGGGUUGAAAGACCCUCCAGGGUUCGAAUCCCUGCCUCUCCGCCA